rnacentral:lncRNA from 1 species
AGGACAUUAAAGACAGAUGGUGAUGGAUCAGAGCACUCAUCAGCCACUGGGUGUAGACUGUAUAAAAAGCUGAGCCCAGAGGCCACCAUGAUCAACCUGCAACCUGGCAAGAAAUGGACUCAACUCCACAGACAGCAGUUGUCAGGGAGCCCAGACAUGUAAGGAUGCGGCAAAGGCCCUCGCCAGAUGCUGAAUGCGGAUGCCGUCAUCUUGGACUUCCUAGCUUCCAGAACGGUGAGAAAUACAUUUCUAUUGUUUAUAAAUUACUCAGUCCAUGGAAUGCUGUUGUAGCAGCACAAAUGAACUAAGAGACCUGGCAGAUUACAGACCUCAUUUUAAUUUUAAAAACAGAAAUUAGGAUGAGCUAAUAUAUUAAUUUCCUCUGACUGCUCUAACAAAUUACCAUAACUUUGAUAGCUUAAAACAACCCGAAUUUAUUAUCUUACAGUUCUGGAGAUCAGAGUUUGAUAUGGGUCAAACGAGGCUAAAAUCAGGGUCUCAUCUGGCUUCAUUUUGUCCUGGAGGCUCUGGAGGAGACUCUGUUUCCUUGCCUUUUCCAGCUCCGAGAGGCUGCCUGUAUUCCUGUAAUUCCUCGUAAUUAUGUUGAGCCUACUCAGAUAAUCUAGGAAAAUCUCCUCAUCUCAAGAUCCUUAAUUCAAUGACAUCUGCAAAGUCUCUUUUGCCAUGAAAAGAAAUAUAUAUUGAUAGGUUUUGGGGAUUAGGGCACGGAUAACUUUGGGGGAGGCAGAUUAUUCUACAGGUAAAAACUUUUUGCCAUUUACAUAAUCUUUAAAAAAAGAUUUGAUUAAUUAUGCAAAUGUUUACAACAUACAGAGGAAGUACAAAAAAUGAUGUCUUUCACCAAAAGCAAACAGCUAACAUUUGUCAUAUAUGUUUGGCUCACAACUUUUGGAAAUAAAACGUUGCAAAUACAGCUAAAUCCCCAACUCAUUUCUCAUUUCCUUCCUUCUUACCUUUCCUCAACAGUAUCCACUAUUAAGGCUAAUGGGAAUUAUUGUGAUGAAUGUAUUUUUACCAUUUCUACUGCUAGGACUCAGAAAACAAUACCCUGAAAUGCAGACCUCAGAAGCAGCUUCAGAGGCAAAAGUUUUUCUCCGACCUUCUCCUGCUCUCCUGUCUCUCAGUUCCAUUCUCCCCUGAGGCUAGGCAGAGAAAUUAGAAUCUCUCUUCCCCAAGGCAGGUCAUAGAAACCAGAACCCCUCUUCCCAAAGCCAGCCAUAAAACUUAAAAAUGUUACUUUAACUUUUCCUCCACCUGUCUGUGUAAAAACGGACCAUGAAGAAAUUAUCUGACCUACGUUAUUUGACUGUAGGUCUUAAGAGCCCCAUUCGAGAGAGGGUUCUGCCCCACGCCCAGAAGGAAGGAGUGCAUGCUCUGAGAGGCUGAGAAGAAUCUAGACAGACGGGCCUUGCUGGAUUUCCUCACUCAGUCAGCUAUUAGCAUUAGAUCAUACCUUUUCUGUCCAAUCAUAUUUCUACAUGGUUGUUGAACUUAAGCAUAAAAAUGGACAAUUUCCCCUGUAGCUUUGAGUCUCUGUUCUGAAGGCUCCCGUGUAUACACUAAAUAAUACACUAAAUAAAUAUGUAUGUCCAUUCUCUUAUUAAUCUCCCUCUUGUCAGUGAUUUUCAGUAAACCUUUAGAAGGUAAAGGAGAAUUUUCCCUUGGCCCUGAUACUACAACAAUAGUAUAUACACUAUUGUGUGUUUUUUAAAUUUAGAUAAAUGGUGAAAUACUGUUCAUUUCUUUUGCUGUUUGCUUUUAUGUUUUGGAAAUGUACCUACGUUGGUACCAUACUGAUCUACUUCCAGCCUCCACUUUAUUCAGAGACCUCAGAUUAUUUAUCUAUUUUUCUACUGAUGGGUAGUUUCCACUUACAUGCUAUGAAAUAACGAGAAUGUACUGAGAGAUGCUACAUCACUCUCUGAAGUGGCCACUUGGACCAAUUAGCAUCUCCAGUGAUGGUACAGCGUGCCCAUUCCUCUACGUCCUCACCAACACUAGGUAUGAGCAUGCUUAUUAAUGGUCCUAAGCUGACGUAAGUGAUGUGUGUGUAUGUCACUGCUGUUUCAUUUUGAAAUGUGCUUAUUUGUGUGAGAGGUUGAGAAUAUUUUCAUGUUGACGGAUCAUGAAAUAUUCCCCCUCAAGGAAUUUCCUAUUUAUAUUAUUUUCCCCAUCUUUCUAUUGAGUUUGUCUUUUAAAUAGGGAUUCUUUUUACAUUCUGGUUACUGAUAUUUUGUUAAUUACAUGGAUUGUAAAAUCUGUUCUUAUCUUUUCAUGUUUUUUCCUGCUUCUUGGCAAGUGAGUUUAUACUGUUAAUUAGAAAACUUUAUCACACUUUUUAUUUGUGACUUGUACUUUUCCUAUCAUGAAAAAAGGUUUUCUUCAAAUCGGUUCCUAUUCUGUUCUCAUAAAGAUAUUUGCCCAUGUUUUCUUCUAACAGUUCUAUAGUUUUGUUUUUGACAUUCAUAUUUUUACAUUAUAGAAUUAUUUUUAAUAUGAUGGCAGAUAAUGAUCAAAUGUUAUCUUCUUCUGAAAAUGUGCUAGAAUUACUUGUUUGGUCUAUUACCUUCUGCUAAUUUUAAAGCUGCCUCUGUCAUAUACCAAGCUUGCAUCUAUAUGUGGCUCAGUGUCCAGGCUGCCUGACAUCCCAGGACAAUGCUGCACUGAUUUACUCUCUACAGCUCCAUGGUAAGUGAUAUGGUUAGGCUAUGUGUCACCACCCAAAUCUCAUCUUGAAUUAUAAUCCCCAUAAUCCCCAUGUGUCAAGGGAGAGACAAGAUGGAGGUAAUUGGCUCAUGGGGGCAGUUUCUCCCAAGCUGUUGUCAUGAUAUUCAAUGAGUUCUCAUGAAAUCUGAUGGUUUUUGUAAGUGUUUGGUAGUUCCUCCUGCAUUCAUUCUCCUUCCUGCUGUCUUGUGAAGAAGGUGCCUUGCUUCCCCUUCACCCUCUGCCAUGAUUGUAAGUUUCCUGAGGCUUCCUCAGACAUGCUGAACUGUGAGUUAAUUAAACCAUUUUCCUUUAUAAAUUACCCAGUCUCUGGCAGUCUUUAUACCAGUGUGAAAAUGAACUAACACAGUAAGCUUUGCUAUCUAAUAAGAAAAAUUUUGUUCCCCAUCCCAGCUUUCUCCCUUACCACACAUAUGGCCACUUCCUUUAAAUUUGUCUGGGAAUUUUUUCACUCUUUACUCUUACAUAUGGCUUUAGGAUCAGCUUGUCCAAUUCUGAAAAAAGUCUUGUUAGGACUUUUAUUAGACUAACAAUGAAAGUGCAGAAGUGAUAUGUCUUCUUUAUAAUAUUAAAUCUUCCUGCCAAUGAACUGGUUUUUAUAUAUCUUUCUAAAUAUUUCAGUAAAGUUUUUUUUUUUAAAUUUUGUUGUAUCUGCAAAUGUCUGUUACAAAUAUCAAGUUUAGUGUUUUUUAAAAUUACAUUUUAUAAUUAAUAGUUCCUAGGAAAUAAGAACAGUAUUCAUUUUUAUAUUGAUCUAUGCAGUCACCAUUAGAACUGUCCUAUUUCUCAGUAGCUUUUCUGUAGCUCCACUGGAAAUUUUUGUGUCAACAAAAUUUUGUCUAUAAUAACAGCAAAAUAAAAUAACAGCAAUUUUGUUUCUGUCUUUUUAAGUCUUAUACAUUUUAUUUAUUUUUCUUAUUUUACUGCACUGAUUUAAAAUCUUUUUUUUUCAAUGUUGAAUAGAAGCAGUGAUGAAAGCAAGGAAAAUUUUAUUCCUAACUUCAGAGGGAAUAUAUGCAAUGUUGCACUCUUCAGAGACAGAGCACUACGGAAGGGAGCCCCAUUCCCAAGCAUGGUGUCCAAUACACUGAAAGAAUAACUGGGCUCAGUAAUGCACCUAGAGACUCAGAUUCCAGACCUGCCCACUUGCUUUACUAUCCAAAACAACCAUGACACAUGACUUCUCUGGCGGGGUGUUGGCCAAGACAAACUGAACUAUAGAAGAUCCUUGACUUGCCAACGUUCAAAUGAUGAACUUUCAAAAAUAGCGAAACUGGCUGCAGAGCAAAAGCUUUUCAGCUCUGCACAACACCAACAGAUGGCGCUAAGUGUCACCCUUGUGGAGAGCAGAGGGACCUCGGAAGGGCCUUUGGAAAUCUAAUCUGGUUUUGAGUUCUUGGUGGGAAAAUGCACCUUUAAGUUGGGGGAGUUUGAAGACGUUGCCAAGACACGUGCUGCAGCAUUUGAUCUUUUCUGCCGCACUGGCUUCUGCAAUUAACAUGCUUUCACCAGUGAAACUCAGGUUGCGGGGAGAGCAUUCUUCCAGGUUCAUGCCUGUUGUCAUGGAGUAAUUAUAAUUCAUGUCUCCGUUCACAGUGUCCUGGUUUGUAGAAUAAAAUAUCUGGUCCACCCACCCAGUGGGAUCUUUGAGAAUCCAUUCAUUUUAGAGUCAGCAUCUGUGGCUGGUUCCAAGACUGUAAUUUGCUUCCUUGGCAAAUGCCACACUACAUCAAAAGGGGGCAAAAGAGUAUGAUUGCUCUAUUUUUACUUAGAAUCCAAGUGGUAAUUUAUGGAAUACAGGGGUUCUCAACCUCAGCACUAUUGACGUUGGAGCUGGAUAAUUCUUUGGUGGUUGUGGGGGAGGGGCGAGGGCGGGAGUCCUGUGCUUUGCAAGAUGUUUAGCAGCACCUCUGGCCUCCACUUGCUAGAUGCCAGCAACACCUCCCCACUCUCUCCCAAUUUGUGACAACCAAAUACGUUUCCAGACAUUGU